rnacentral:rRNA from 1 species
AUUGAACGCUGGCGGAAUGCUUUACACAUGCAAGUCGAACGGUAGCAGGCCCUUCGGGGUGCUGACGAGUGGCGGACGGGUGAGUAACGCGUGGGAAUCUGCCCAAUAGUGGGGGGACAACCCGGGGGAAACUCGGGCUAAUACCGCAUACGCCCUAAGGGGGAAAGCGGGGGACCGCAAGGCCUCGCGCUAUUGGAUGAGCCCGCGUCCGAUUAGCUAGUUGGUGGGGUAAAGGCCUACCAAGGCGACGAUCAGUAGCUGGUCUGAGAGGACGAUCAGCCACACUGGGACUGAGACACGGCCCAGACUCCUACGGGAGGCAGCAGUGGGGAAUAUUGGACAAUGGGCGAAAGCCUGAUCCAGCAAUACCGCGUGAGUGAUGAAGGCCUUAGGGUUGUAAAGCUCUUUUAGUAGGGAAGAUAAUGACGGUACCUACAGAAAAAGCCCCGGCUAACUCCGUG